rnacentral:snRNA from 1 species
AUCGCUUUUCAGCCCUUUAGCCAAGGUCAAGUGUAGUAUCUGUUCUUUUCAGUUUAAUAUCUGAUACGUCCUCUAUCCGAGGACAAUAUAGUAAAUGGAUUUUUGGAGCAGGGAGAUGGACUAGGAGCUUGCCCUGUCCACUCCACGCAUCGACCUGGUAUUGCAGGACUUCAGGAACGGUGCACCCCCU